rnacentral:rRNA from 1 species
GACGAACGCUGGCGGCGUGCUUAACACAUGCAAGUCGAACGGAAAGGCCUCUUUCGGGGGGUACUCGAGUGGCGAACGGGUGAGUAACACGUGAGUAACCUGCCCUUGACUUUGGGAUAACUUCAGGAAACUGGGGCUAAUACCGGAUAGGAGCUCCUGCUGCAUGGUGGGGGUUGGACAGUUUCGGCGGUUGGGGAUUGACGCGCGGCUUAUCAGCUUGUUGGUGGGGUAGUGGCUUACCAAGGCUUUGACGGGUAGCCGGCCUGAGAGGGUGACCGGCCACAUUGGGACUGAGAUACGGCCCAGACUCCUACGGGAGGCAGCAGUGGGGAAUAUUGCACAAUGGGUGGAAGCCUGAUGCAGCAACGCCGUGUGCGGGAUGACGGCCUUCGGGUUGUAAACCGCUUUCGCUCAUGACGAAGCUUUGUGUGACGGUAGUGGGUAAAGAAGCACCGGCUAACUACGUG